GUGCCAGCAGCCGCGGUAAUACGUAGGGUGCAAGCGUUAAUCGGAAUUACUGGGCGUAAAGCGUGCGCAGGCGGUGAUGUAAGACAGAUGUGUAAUCCCCGGGCUCAACCUGGGAACUGCAUUUGUGACUGCAUCGCUGGAGUGCGGCAGAGGGGGAUGGAAUUCCGCGUGUAGCAGUGAAAUGCGUAGAUAUGCGGAGGAACACCGAUGGCGAAGGCAAUCCCCUGGGCCUGCACUGACGCUCAUGCACGAAAGCGUGGGGAGCAAACAGGAUUAG
rnacentral:rRNA from 1 species